CCGCGAACCAAGGGGUGCUUUUAGCUGAGACGCCGUCAAACGCGAACCCUUCGAACCUGAUCCGGAUCAUACCGGCGGAGGGAUGGUACUUCUGUAUUCC
rnacentral:ncRNA from 2 species